UACGUAGGGUGCAAACGUUGUUCGGAAUCACUGGGCAUAAAGGGCGCGUAGGCGGUCCAUUAAGUCGGAUGUGAAAUACUUCGGCCCAACCGGAGAACUGCAUUUGAUACUGAUGGGCUAGAGUGCAGGAGGGGAGAGUGGAAUUCCUGGUGGAGCGGUGAAAUGCGUAGAUAUCAGGAGGAACGCCGGUGGCGAAAGCGACUCUCUGGCCUGCAUCUGACGCUGAGUGCGCGAAAGCUAGGGGAGCAAACGGG
rnacentral:rRNA from 1 species